AGCUUUUCCCGCCGUGGGGCCAGCCACACCUGAGAAGUAAUCAGACUCACCUGCAGCUGAUCAGCCUCAUCGAGAAAGCUACUUAACAGAGUAGCUGAGCGUCAGUUGACACUGAAUUGUUGUGAGAAACUCCGAGAAUUGAAGAAACGAGUGGAGAGAGUGGAACAUGUUGUAUAUCGACACCAAGGGAGCAGAAAUACUCACCACGGACACUGGGAGAAGUCACAGCAUGGAACAAGCACCCUAAGAGAGCACGCACUGGGGCUUAUUUGCAUUUUGUCAUUUGUUCACUGUGACAGCACAAAGUCUAAGAGAGGAGGACAGAGAGGCAGAGCGCAAAAAGAAGCAGUGGAAUGACAGAGUGAGGAGGAUGGAGAGA